ACGCGCGGAACCUUACCAGGUCUUGACAUCCUCUGACAACUCUGGAGACAGAGCGUUCCCCUUCGGGGGACAGAGUGACAGGUGGUGCAUGGUUGUCGUCAGCUCGUGUCGUGAGAUGUUGGGUUAAGUCCCGCAACGAGCGCAACCCUUGUCCUUAGUUGCCAGCAUUUAGUUGGGCACUCUAAGGAGACUGCCGGUGACAAACCGGAGGAAGGUGGGGAUGACGUCAAAUCAUCAUGCCCCUUAUGACCUGGGCUACACACGUGCUACAAUGGAUAGAACAAAGGGCAGCGAAGCCGCGAGGUCAAGCAAAUCCCAUAAAUCUAUUCUCAGUUCGGAUUGUAGGCUGCAACUCGCCUACAUGAAGCCGGAAUCGCUAGUAAUCGCGGAUCAGCAUGCCGCGGUGAAUACGUUCCCGGGCCUUGCACUCACCGCCCGU
rnacentral:rRNA from 1 species